rnacentral:rRNA from 1 species
AUGGCCGACCGCUUGGCUCGACGCGGUCUCCAGCACCAGCCACGAUGCCCACUUUGUGACCAGGCUCCCGAGACAAUGCACCACCUCCUCUUGCAGUGCCCCUUCGCCAGGCAGACUUGGCACGAAAUCCUGUCCUGGCUACGGAUGACCACUGCAGGGCCAAGCCACGAAGAUUCACUCAUGGACUGGUGGCUACAGUUUUGCUGA